GCUGAAGCAAUUAUGUUCUCAACUCUUAGAAAUCACCAAGAAUCGAGAUUUGCUUUAGUAACUAUCCUGGAAGGCAUGGAGACUGGUGAGGCUGCGGGGAACCAAAGUCUGCUUCAAUCGGAGCCAAGCCAGGGACUACGUGGAUGCUAAAAUCAAGUCUUUUUUUUGCCAGACCUAGGUGAAGCUGCAUGACCCGGAGAUGGAGAUCCGAGUAAAAAUCAAUUGGGUGCCUCUAGGAUUAAGGUGGUGUUUCGUAGGGAGUCUCCAAUUAGUAAAUAUAAGAUAUGUACAUAUUUGGCAAUCUGUAAUUUAUUGAGACACUGCUAUCUUGCUUCGUAGCUCUCUUGCUUUCUCUAAGCCAAUUGCAUAUUUCUUUGAAGUCAGAUCUGAAAUAAGUUCAGCUAUCUUUUAUCUGUAGAUAUUUCACAAUCUCUAAUUUUAUUGAGACUAAUGCUAUCUUCUGGUGGCAGUACUGCCUUGUAGCUCUCCUGCUUUCUCUAAGCCAAUUGCAUAUUUCUUUGAAGGCAGAUCUGAAAUAAGUUCAGUUAUCUUUUAUAUGUAGAUAUUUCACUAUCUAUGUAGAUACUUACAGAUCUGUCAUUUCCUUAAUGCUUGUAGAGUGUAUCUGUGCUUCAGAAACUACUAAUAAAUAAAAGACUUACUUUGGUUUAGCUGUUUGCUGUUAAUUUGUAUUGCCAAUGCGAGUGCCAUGUUAUAUAAUGCUAUAUGUUCUUCUGGAUGAUCAGUUAUGUUUUUUAGUUUCUAGUCAACUGGAUGAUCAGUUAUGUUUUUUAGUUUCUAGCCUUCGUGCAAAUUUACACCAGCGAAUUGUCAGAUUUGAUCAUGUCAAGACCGCUAAUGUUCCUGUUAGUUUGUUAAUUUGCUAUUUCAAUGGAAAGCAGCAAUGCCUCCAGUAUGUUCUCUCACAUAAUCACAUGAGCAUCUUCUAUAUGAUAUGUAGCAUGACAGGUUGAUCAUUACAAAUUUGGU